rnacentral:rRNA from 1 species
UACGGAGGUGGCAAGCGUUGUCCGGAGUUACUGGGUGUAAAGGGCGAGGAGGCGGGAUGCCACGUCAGAUGUGAAAUACCCCGGCUCAACCCCGGGGGUGGAUUUGAAACGGGAGGGCUUGAGUGGAGGAGAGGGAAGCGGAAUUCCUAGUGUAGCGGUGAAAUGCGUAGAUAUUAGGAGGAACGCCAGUGGCGAAGCCGGCUAUCUGGACUGUGACUGACGCUGCGGCGCGAAAGCGUGGGGAGCAAACCGG